rnacentral:tRNA from 1 species
GCCCGGGUAGUAUAGUCCGGUCUAGUAUGGGGGACUGUCACUCCUUCGACCCGGGUUCGAAAUUCGGCUUUGAGAGGAAGACGAAUAAGAAGAAGAAACCGAACGAACAUCCCGGCCCGGGCG